rnacentral:ncRNA from 2 species
AGCUAUAGCUAGGGGUGUCCGAAACCAGUCGGGCUGAGAACAUACCCUUGCACCUGAGUCUGGGUAAUGCCAGCGGAGGGAAGCUGUUUAUGAUAGGA